rnacentral:rRNA from 1 species
CAGCAGCCGCGGUAAUUCCAGCUCCAAUAGCGUAUAUUAAAGUUGUUGCAGUUAAAAAGCUCGUAGUUGAAACUUGGGUCUGGCUGGCAGGUCCGCCUCACCGCGUGUACUUGUCCGGCCGGGCCUUCCUUCUGGAGAACCUCAUGCCCUUCACUGGGCGUGUUGGGGACCAGGACUUUUACUUUGAAAAAAUUAGAGUGUUCAAAGCAGGCCUUUGCUCGAAUACGUUAGCAUGGAAUAAUAGAAUAGGACGUGCGGUCCUAUUUUGUUGGUUUCUAGGACCGCCGUAAUGAUUAAUAGGGACAGUCGGGGGCAUCAGUAUUCAAUUGUCAGAGGUGAAAUUCUUGGAUUUAUUGAAGACUAACUACUGCGAAAGCAUUUGCCAAGGAUGUUUUCAUUAAUCAGUGAACGAAAGUUAGGGGAUCGAAGACGAUCAGAUACCGUCGUAGUCUUAACCGUAAACUAUGCCGACUAGGGAUCGGGCGAUGUUCUUUUUCUGACUCGCUCGGCACCUUACGAGAAAUCAAAGUUUUUGGGUUCUGGGGGGAGUAUGGUCGCAA